rnacentral:lncRNA from 1 species
CACACAACAGAAUUUCAUGAAACUUUGUAGAUAAUUAAGCACUGAUAUGAUAAAAUGUGAAACAAUUCAAAAGAGAAAAUCAACAGCCUAUUACAACAAUGAAGAGGGUUGGGGAAUACAGCUACAAACAACAACCACUACACUACAGGUUCCUUGAUAUGGACAGGGGAUACAGCUACCAACAACAACCACUACACAACAUGUUCCUUGAUAUGGACAGGGGAUACAGCUACCAACAACAACCACUACACUACAGGUUCCUCGACAUGGACAGGGGAUACAGCUACCAACGACAACCACUACAGGUUCCUCGACAGGCACAUAAUCAGAUUGUAAACAGAUCAAUUGUUUAAUGUGAUUGCCAUCAUGUCCUUGCUUAUUUGUUGACAGUUCAGAGAGGCUUGAAAUUAAUGAAUUUAAUAUUGUCUUAAUGCUGGUGAAUAAAACUUUUGAAAUUUUUAGGUCUGCGGAAGUGCAAUUGAUGUUCUUGUGUUUGAUGGAAAAAAUCACUCCCUGUUUGUAGAAUACCUCAUUUAGGUAAGUAAUCAGAUAUACAAGCGUU